rnacentral:rRNA from 1 species
CAAUAAGCGGAGGAAAAGAAACUAACAAGGAUUCCCCUUAGUAACUGCGAAGUGAAAGCGGGAAAAGCUCAAAUUUAAAAUCUGGUGGUCUUUGGCCAUCCGAGUUGUAAUCUAGAGAAGUGUUACCCGCGUCGGACCGUGUACAAGUCUCCUGGAAUGGAGCGUCAUAGAGGGUGAGAAUCCCGUCUUUGACACGGACCCCCGAGGCUUUGUGGUGCGCUCUCAACGAGUCGAGUUGUUUGGGAAUGCAGCUCAAAAUGGGUGGUAAAUUCCAUCUAAAGCUAAAUAUUGGCGAGAGACCGAUAGCGAACAAGUACCGUGAGGGAAAGAUGAAAAGAACUUUGGAAAGAGAGUUAAACAGUACGUGAAAUUGCUGAAAGGGAAACGCUUGAAGUCAGUCGCGUUGUCCGGAAAUCAGCCUUCCUUUUGGUUGGUGUACUUUCUGGUUGACGGGCCAGCAUCAGUUUUGACCGGUGGAUAAAGUUGUAGGGAAUGUGGCAUCUUCGGGUGUGUUAUAGCCCUGCUUCGUAUACAUCGGUUGGGACUGAGGAACUCAGCACGCCGCAAGGCCGGGAUUCGUCCACGUUCGUGCUUAGGAUGCUGGCAUAAUGGCUUUAAUCGACCCGUCUUGAAACACGGACCAAGGAGUCUAACAUGCCUGCGAGUGUUUGGGUGGAAAACCCGAGCGCGUAAUGAAAGUGAAAGUCGAGAUCCUUGUCAUGGGGAGCAUCGACGCCCGGACCUGAAGUUUACGGACGGUUCUGCGGUAGAGCAUGUAUGUUGGGACCCGAAAGAUGGUGAACUAUGCCUGAAUAGGGUGAAGCCAGAGGAAACUCUGGUGGAGGCUCGUAGCGAUUCUGACGUGCAAAUCGAUCGUCAAAUUUGGGUAUAGGGGCGAAAGACUAAUCGAACCAUCUAGUAGCUGGUCUGU